rnacentral:misc_RNA from 1 species
CGGAGGGAUCAUUACCGAGUUAUACAACUCAUCAACCCUGUGAACAUACCUAAAACGUUGCUUCGGCGGGAACAGACGGCCCCGUAACACGGGCCGCCCCCGCCAGAGGACCCCCUAACUCUGUUUCUAUUAUGUUUCUUCUGAGUAAAACAAGCAAAUAAAUUAAAACUUUCAACAACGGAUCUCUUGGCUCUGGCAUCGAUGAAGAACGCAGCGAAAUGCGAUAAGUAAUGUGAAUUGCAGAAUUCAGUGAAUCAUCGAAUCUUUGAACGCACAUUGCGCCCGCCAGUAUUCUGGCGGGCAUGCCUGUUCGAGCGUCAUUACAACCCUCAGGCCCCCGGGCCUGGCGUUGGGGAUCGGCGAGGCGCCCCCUGCGGGCACACGCCGUCCCCCAAAUACAGUGGCGGUCCCGCCGCAGCUUCCAUUGCGUAGUAGCUAACACCUCGCAACUGGAGAGCGGCGCGGCCACGCCGUAAAACACCCAACUUCUGAAUGUUGACCUCGAAUCAGGUAGGAAUACCCGCUGAACUUAAGCAU